rnacentral:rRNA from 1 species
AGAGUUUGAUCCUGGCUCAGGAUGAACGCUAGCGGCAGGCUUAAUACAUGCAAGUCGAACGGUAAGUUGAGUAGCAAUACUUGACCUAGAGUGACGUACGGGUGCGUAACACGUAUGCAACCUACCCAUAACAGGAGGAUAGCUCCCCGAAAGGGGAAUUAACCCUCCAUAGUAUAAUUGAAUGGCAUCAUUUGAUUAUUAAAACUGAGGUGGUUAUGGAUGGGCAUGCGUCUGAUUAGUUAGUUGGCGGUGUAACGGACCACCAAGACGAUGAUCAGUAGGGGAACUGAGAGGUUGAUCCCCCACACUGGCACUGAGACACGGUCCGGACUCCUACGGGAGGCAGCAGUGGGGAAUAUUGGACAAUGGGGGAAACCCUGAUCCAGCGACGCCGCGUGGGUGAAGAAGGCCUGCGGGUUGUAAAGCCCUUUCGGUGGGGAAGAAAAGCCUCGACCUAAUACGUCGGGGUCUUGACGUAACCCAUAGAAGAAGCACCGGCUAACUCUGUGCCAGCAGCCGCGGUAAUAC